rnacentral:rRNA from 1 species
UACAGAGGUCUCAAGCGUUGUUCGGAUUCAUUGGGCGUAAAGGGUGUGUAGGUGGCGCGCUAAGUCGGGUGUGAAAUUUCGGAGCUUAACUCCGAAACUGCAUUCGAUACUGGCGUGCUUGAGGACUGGAGAGGAGACUGGAAUUCAUGGUGUAGCAGUGAAAUGCGUAGAGAUCAUGAGGAAGACCAGUGGCGAAGGCGGGUCUCUGGACAGUUCCUGACACUGGAGACGAAGGCCAGGGGAGCAAACGGG